rnacentral:lncRNA from 1 species
CUUUAUUAUCCCAUAUUUUGUAAUUCCCAGAUUGUGAAAAAGGUGGAGCGGAAUUUUGGAAGUGUAGCAUGCCACUUCACCUCGCAUGGUGAACGAAAAUAAUAGCAAAUCGUGACCUUUUUUUUUUAGGUAAGUUGGAUAAAUUAAAUAAUACAAGUAUAAAUAUAUAGUGAUAAUAAAAAAAUAAAAUAUUUAAAAUUGAGGAGGA